rnacentral:rRNA from 1 species
GAUGAACGCUGGCGGCGUGCUUAACACAUGCAAGUCGAACGGAAAGGCCCAAGCUUGCUUGGGUACUCGAGUGGCGAACGGGUGAGUAACACGUGGGUGAUCUGCCCUGCACUUCGGGAUAAGCCUGGGAAACUGGGUCUAAUACCGGAUAGGACCACAUUUUGGAUGGUGUGGUGGAAAGUUUUUCGGUGUGGGAUGAGCUCGCGGCCUAUCAGCGUGUUGUUGGGGGAAUGGCCUACCAAGAGGGCGACGGGUGGCCGGCGUGAGAGGGUGUACGGCGACAUUGGGGCGGUGAUACGGCGCACACUCCUACGGGGGGGGGAAGUGGGGAAUAUUGCACAAUGGGCGCAAGACUGAGGCAGAGACGCCGCGUGGGGGAUGACGGCCUUCGGGUUGUAAACUCCUUUCGCUAGGGACGAAGCGUUUUUGUGACGGUACCUGGAGAAGAAGCACCGGCUAACUACGUG